rnacentral:tRNA from 1 species
GAUUCGAUAGCUCAGCUGGUAGAGCAUCUCCCUUUUAAGGAGAGGGUCCUGGGUUCGAACCCCAGUCGAGUCA